rnacentral:rRNA from 1 species
UACGUAGGGUGCAAGCGUUGUCCGGAAUUAUUGGGGCGUAAAGAGCUCGUAGGCGGUUUGUCGCGUCUGCUGUGAAAACUCGGGGCUUAACUCCGGGCCUGCAGUGGGUACGGGCAGACUAGAGUGCGGUAGGGGAGACUGGAAUUCCUGGUGUAGGCGGUGAAAUGCGACAGAUAUCAGGAGGAACGACCGGUGGCGAAGGCGGGUCUCUGGGCCGUAACUGACGCUGAGGAGCGAAAGCGUGGGGAGCGAACAGG